GAAACUAUGGAGCAUAGCACGUGUUUAAGAAGGGAGAUAUUUCUCCUGUGUUCCUGUCCACAAAUCAUGUGAUUUCUCUUUUACCAUAUAUUUGAGAAAAUAAAGAUGUUUCUACUCUUUAGAUUUUGAUAUGUUACCCAAAUUUGGUCUUCAUUUAAUUAGCAAUCUCUUGCUAGGGUCAAAGGCCCUGAGAUCUUAGAUUGAAGUACAAAUGAAGUGUGGGAAAUAUAAUGAUUACUGUUCUCGAUAUUUGAAUAAUUCACUUGUUUGAAGAAUUUGAAUAUUUUAGAAGAUUUAUUCUGCAGUAACUAAUAAUACUCACAUACAAUGUGCUUAAUUGUGGUUUCUUACCUUUCUAGUUAUCAUUAAUUAUAGAUCGAGAGACCAGAGUGACA
rnacentral:misc_RNA from 1 species